rnacentral:rRNA from 1 species
AGUGAACGCUGGCGGUAGGCCUAACACAUGCAAGUCGAACGGCAGCACAGUAAGAGCUUGCUCUUACGGGUGGCGAGUGGCGGACGGGUGAGGAAUACAUCCGAAUCUACUUUUUCGUGGGGGAUAACGUAGGGAAACUUACGCUAAUACCGCAUACGACCUACGGGUGAAAGCAGGGGAUCUUCGGACCUUGCGCGAUUGAAUGAGCCGAUGUCGGAUUAGCUAGUUGGCGGGGUAAAGGCCCACCAAGGCGACGAUCCGUAGCUGGUCUGAGAGGAUGAUCAGCCACACUGGAACUGAGACACGGUCCAGACUCCUACGGGAGGCAGCAGUGGGGAAUAUUGGACAAUGGGCGCAAGCCUGAUCCAGCCAUACCGCGUGGGUGAAGAAGGCCUUCGGGUUGUAAAGCCCUUUUGUUGGGAAAGAAAAGCAGCAGGUUAAUACCCCGCUGUUCUGACAGUACCCAAAGAAUAAGCACCGGCUAACUUCGUG